CGAGUCUCGCGCUGGCUACGUGCAAUCUGGAACGUGCUUUUUUUCCUGUAUGAAUGAAGCAUUAAGGAAGAAGAUCGCAUUAUUUACGCACAUAUUAACACGCCUAUAUUAUUGCGCGGCGGUCCUGCUUAUGGGAGAUAGGAAAUUGUUUUAAGUAACAAACUAUCAAACGAGCACUAUUUGGUGAAUUUUUGUAUUUGGAAUUUUGACUGGUAUCCCGUUCCAUAACUAAGUAUCCCCACCGACUGUCUUCAGUGUUGAUAUCUGACCGCCAUGGCAUCCUGGGGUGAACGAAUCAAACUUAGAACGUUUGGUUUUGGUUUCAGAGCUUUUAAAAAUUACCCCGAGCUGGUACCACUGUGUGCGUUUAUAUCAGCAGCGGUUGCAGGGGCUUGUUGUAUGAUGGCAUAUUCUCUAAAAACUAAACCAGACGUCAGAUUAAUCAAAUCAAGCGAGUUACCUCCCUGGGAAAGGGUUAAACCCACGGAAGUUAGAAAGUUUUAUGUGAACAAUGAUAAAAAAGUUUAUGUGGAGAACGAAAAACUGGCUCAACUUAGGAAGGAAAUUGGAAGCUUUAAAUGUUAAAACAUGCGUUGUUGAUUUUAGUUUUUACAUUACGUCUCACUGGAAUACUAGAGUUGUGUCCCCUUCUCUAAAGCAAUAAUAUGAAGCUGGGAACUUUUCAGCAAAUAUCUUACCUGACAGUAUGUGUUGAAUAUAAAAUAUGAUUGAAAUUCAUUUAAUUUGAAAAUUAAAAUCACUUGUCCACCGAUGGACAUUCUUAAAGAACAAAGUAUAAUUUUUAAGAUUUGACGCAAUUCUUUCCAUUUUUAAAAAUCCAUUUCAAAUAAAAUGGAUUUAUUGUUAUUUUUAUGUAAUUUGGAAUUUGUCUCAACUUUUAAUUCAUCCAAAGAUCUUUUAUGUUUUAAUGUUGUGUUUGCUGUACUCUGUUUUAUAGAAAAUUAGAACAAUGGAAAUUUUAACUGUAAAGUUAUUUUCAUACAAAGCUUACUUUUUAGAAGCUUAGAAUUUACAAAUGUGGGCCAACGGUCUCUUCAUUACAAAAGUACAUAUCUUAGAUUUUUUAGAAUAUAUGUGAAUGAUGUGACUUGUCUUUGAUAAAAAAUAUUAAACACAGUUUGUUUGGUAAACCCCGCGGAUUAAUCAUUUCCGAAGCCAUGGUUACACGUAUUAUCGGACCUUUAACCAUUGCUACAGUAACCAUUGUAUUCUAGCAUUUCCAUUAUAGUAGGUUAAAUACAGACGGAGAUCAUCUCGUGGUACCUGACCCCUUUAUCUUGAGUAUUGUUUCAGUUCAGUAUUUUCGUCUUAAGAUUUCUAUUGGUUAUGGAUGCCACCUAGUUUUAAAUAAGCUAUGACCUACCCUCUCAGAAAUGAAAUGAAAUGGGGUUUAACGUCCUACUGUUUUGCUCCGAACUGGGCUAAUGAAGACGGGACCCUCUCAGAAAGUUUAAUAGCCGGAUAAUAGGUUUAAUAGAAGGGCGAAGUAAAAAGUCCAUAGGAUUAACUUCCCAGCGAACCUAGCGUACAUAUUAUACCAAUCGCCUAUAUCCAUAAAGUGUAGCCAUGGUUAAUGAACUGUUAAUAUCCGCUACCAUUGCUUGGGGAAUAUGAGGGUUUAUGUGCAUGAUAAGAGCUCUACUGAUGAAUAAAUAUUUUUAUAUUGUGAAACUGUACAUUAUUUUAUGUGAAUAAAGUAUGUGUUAUUUAAAAACAA